UUAAGACGAAAUCAUACAAUUGAAAGUGAAAGUGAAGGAAGCUUAAAUAUCUUAAAGGCUAAUAUUUUGAUGGCAGAAGAUCAAGUGAAUAUUGAAAAUUAAAUGUGUCGCCGACUCUCUACACGAAUAUCACUUUUCUAAGUACUAGUGCCGCAGGAGAUAGUUUAAUCGACAUAUAGUAGACCCCUGCUGCCCCAGUGCUUAUCAAAGUGAUUCUAGUGACAACUAUUUAACUAUUUAAAAGCAGCUUCAAUCUAAAAAAAAAAAUUGCUUAAAAAGAAAAUAAAUUAAUUCAAAUAUGACGAAAGAUAAAAAGUGGAUUAAAAUGUGUAACAGUGAAAACUAAGGCCCAAUUUCAGAUGAGCAAUUUAAGUGCCGAUUGAUGAUUAGAUAUUCAUUUUCGGAUCAAAUAUUUAAACUGUAUUUACAUGCCCAAUGUCGGCUAUUUAAAAAUGUAAAAUGCACACUCGCUUCUCGACUAAAUAGCAACUGAUAACUCAAAAUAAAACCAAAAUAAUUAUAUAAAAAGCAAAAGUGAUUGAAAUUAAAAAUUAAAAUAAAUUCGAGUGACCAAAGUGACAUGGAAUGCGCGAUUCUAUAGCCCGUCAUUACAACUCGACGUCCACGGUCUAUAAAAGGUGCGCCAAUUCGUUUCAGAGACUUCGGCGAAAAGGAUUUGCGGGACAGAUUCAGUGGAAUCAAAGCGACAGUAUGGGUGGUGUAGACGAUGAUACCGGAUAAAAUUUAACAUAAAAAACAUGGAAUAAUGCUCUAGCUCCCGAAGAAAUGCUUCAGCUGACUUUGCGAUUCCAUGCCACGGGUUGCAUGUAAAGGACUGGAGGGGACUUAAUCGGAGUUUCUCUCAGCACUGCUUCCCAAGUUAUAAGGCGGCCAUGAUGCGGAGUUAUACCGCAAAGUCCAAAGAACUGACCUUAUUCAACAGCGUCUGAAAUAUAUUGGAUGGAGUACAAACGAUGCCACAAUACUUCGUAACUCGCGUAUUUAUAUGCGCUUCGAACGGGUGAAUUCGGGAAUUCAAUGGUUGUAGCAGACAACGGUCUUCCCUGUAAUCACUGGAUAAUGACAACGAUAUUCAAUGUUCGUACUCCAGUAGAGGCGCUGUACGCUGUGCGAAUCCCAGACUCGAACGAGGUAAAGUUUUGAGCAGUCCUAAGGCGUGUGGAAACGAAGAUUUCCGGUCCUUUCGGUGGGUAUAAAGCUGAAUAUCCAGCGUGUAGAAAGCUUUAAUAUGGCGCCACCUAUUUCGGAAGAAAUUCGCGCUCACAUAAAUGCUGUUUUAAAUAUGCCAUCUAUUUCAAUUAACAAAAAUAGUACGAUUAAUAUUAGCAGAUAAUCAGUUAGUAAUCACUUUGAAAAUUUCUAGAGUAAAUAUAGUAUCAGUUGAAUUUACUGUGAAUGGGUAAAAUCCUAAAUGGGCUAU
rnacentral:lncRNA from 1 species